UACGUAGGGGGCAAGCGUUGUCCGGAAUCAUUGGGCGUAAAGCGCGCGUAGGCGGCUAGAUCAGUCUGCUGUAAAAGUCAAAGGCUCAACCUUUGAAAGCCGGUGGAUACUGUCUAGCUAGAGUCCGGAAGAGGCGAGUGGAAUUCCUGGUGUAGCGGUGGAAUGCGCAGAUAUCAGGAGGAACACCAACGGCGAAGGCAGCUCGCUGGGACGGUACUGACGCUAAGGCGCGAAAGCGUGGGGAGCAAACAGG
rnacentral:rRNA from 1 species